rnacentral:misc_RNA from 1 species
UGCAGCUUACAGGGAUUUCCUAUUCCAAACUUUUGAGGUUUCAACUGUGGAUAUGGAGAGUUCUGCUGUAGUAAUGACAUGCUUAUCAAAUGGCUACCCUGUAAUUGUCAUCCGAGGAAUGUCAGACUUAGCUGGAAGACAAUCAGGAGAGAAUCAAAUUCGUAUAUUCGGUUCCCUUGCAGCUCUCAAUGUUGCUAAAGCUGUUGUUAAAUUUAUCAGCAAGCUCGCAGGGGAUGUUUAUGAUUCUAGUUCUGGAAAGUAACAAUUUUAUUAACAUGCCAG